rnacentral:rRNA from 1 species
GAUGAACGCUGGCGGCGUGCCUAAUACAUGCAAGUCGAGCGAACGGAUGAGAAGCUUGCUUCUCUGAUGUUAGCGGCGGACGGGUGAGUAACACGUGGAUAACCUACCUAUAAGACUGGGAUAACUUCGGGAAACCGGAGCUAAUACCGGAUAAUAUUUUGAACCGCAUGGUUCAAAAGUGAAAGACGGUCUUGCUGUCACUUAUAGAUGGAUCCGCGCUGCAUUAGCUAGUUGGUAAGGUAACGGCUUACCAAGGCAACGAUGCAUAGCCGACCUGAGAGGGUGAUCGGCCACACUGGAACUGAGACACGGUCCAGACUCCUACGGGAGGCAGCAGUAGCGAAUCUUCCGCAAAGGGCGAAAGCCUGACGGAGCAACGCCGCGUGAGUGAUGAAGGUCUUCGGAUCGUAAAACUCUGUUAUUAGGGAAGAACAUAUGUGUAAGUAACUGUGCACAUCUUGACGGUACCUAAUCAGAAAGCCACGGCUAACUACGUG